CCUGAGAAACCCAAAAGAUCGAAUGGGGAGAUUCAUCGUCAGCGAUUUUGGUACGUGUGCGGCUCGCGAUGCCGGAGAUUUCGGUCUCCAGGCACGCGUCUGCAUGGUUUUUAUUGCCUCGAUCGUCGGCGUGCACUUCUCCCCUAGUAGGACGUCGCGACCCGUUGGGUGUCGGUCUACGGCUCGGGCGGUAGCCUGUCUCGUGUUCGCUUCGCGGCGUUACGCGGUUCAGACCCCCGAUUGCCCGACCGGCUGCUCGGCGGUACUCGCACGGUAUCUGGCCGCAAAUAUUCGAACUGCGUCCGGCCCGUCGCAAGCGAGGCAAGUGUUUUCCGGUUGUGCGGAUCUAAUGCCGUCACCGGGCCUUGCCAGCUGUUGGUUGACGGUGUCCUGGGACUGGCUAAUACAAUUAUGAUACCGGUCGGCGACGCUACUGCUUUGGGUACUUUCAGGACCCGUCUUGAAACACGGACCAAGGAGUCUAACAUGUGCGCGAGUCAUUGGGAUCUAUUAAGCCUAAAGGCGCAAUGAAAGUGAAGGUCGGCCUUGCGCCGACCGAGGGAGGAUGGGCCGCGUCACGAUGCGGUCCCGCACUCCCGGGGCGUCUCGUUCUCAUUUGNNGAAGAGGCGC
rnacentral:rRNA from 1 species